GGAUUUGUCCCGCCCACCGCCGCCAGCCAAGUUCCGUUUCCGGCUUGCUGGGCACUAGGGUCCAGAAAGUGACCGCUGCCGUGGUCGCCAUGGGGAAGUCGGAUUUUCUUACUCCCAAGGCUAUCGCCAACAGGAUCAAGUCCAAGGGCCUGCAGAAGCUACGCUGGUAUUGCCAGAUGUGCCAGAAGCAGUGCCGGGACGAGAAUGGCUUUAAGUGUCAUUGUAUGUCCGAAUCUCAUCAGAGACAACUAUUGCUGGCUUCAGAAAAUCCUCAGCAGUUUAUGGAUUAUUUUUCAGAGGAAUUCCGAAAUGACUUUUUAGAACUUCUCAGGAGACGCUUUGGCACUAAAAGGGUCCACAACAACAUUGUCUACAAUGAGUACAUCAGCCACCGAGAGCACAUCCAUAUGAAUGCAACUCAGUGGGAAACUCUGACCGAUUUUACUAAGUGGCUGGGCAGAGAAGGCUUGUGCAAAGUGGAUGAGACACCAAAGGGCUGGUAUAUUCAGUACAUAGACAGGGACCCAGAAACUAUUCGCCGGCAACUGGAACUGGAGAAAAAGAAAAAGCAGGACCUUGAUGAUGAAGAAAAAACUGCCAAAUUUAUUGAAGAACAAGUGAGAAGAGGCCUGGAAGGGAAGGAACAGGAGGCCCCUACUUUUACGGAAUUAAGCAGAGAAAAUGAUGAAGAGAAAGUCACGUUUAAUUUGAGUAAAGGAGCAUGCAGUUCAUCCGGAGCAACGUCUUCCAAGUCAAGUACUCUGGGACCGAGUGCACUGAAGACAAUAGGAAGUUCAGCAUCAGUGAAACGAAAAGAAUCUGCCCAGAGCUCAGCUCAGUCCAAAGAAAAGAAGAAAAAGAAAUCUGCACUGGAUGAAAUCAUGGAGAUUGAAGAGGAAAAGAAAAGAACUGCCCGAACAGACUACUGGCUACAGCCUGAAAUUAUUGUGAAAAUUAUAACCAAAAAACUGGGAGAGAAAUAUCAUAAGAAAAAGGGUAUCGUUAAGGAAGUAAUUGACAAAUAUACAGCUGUUGUGAAGAUGAUUGAUUCUGGAGACAAGCUGAAACUUGACCAGACUCAUUUAGAGACAGUAAUUCCAGCACCAGGAAAAAGAAUUCUAGUUUUAAAUGGAGGCUACAGAGGAAAUGAAGGUACCCUUGAAUCCAUCAAUGAGAAGACUUUUUCAGCUACUAUCGUCAUUGAAACUGUGUGAGUUACCACGCCUUGCCUGAGUUGAUCUUCUGUAAAAAACAGACCACACCAGGAUGAUCACUUCAAACAUGAGGAUGGGAAUAUGCUGACGUUAGACACAGGUACGGUACCGACCCCUGGGAUAUCUCUCUUUAAUUGAGAGUCAGGGAGGGCUGACAGCUUCUAUUCUCGGAAGAUGGGAGAACAUACGCUGUUAGCAGAAAUGUAAGAGGCAGUAAAGAAAUACUAGCAGGAUGAUGUCAGUAGCUUUACAGAAAAUGUUCUUCAGGGACGAAUUAAGGUUUUUUCAAAGUAACCUGACAGCAUAGUAUGGAAAGCAACUAGGUUUUGGGUGUGGGCAGUCUUUAGAUCAAAUUCUGGCAGUUCUGUUCAUUAGCUUUGUAAUAUUAGAAUGUUAAUGUUCUUGAAUUGCGAUGUUUUUAAUGUAUAAAUUGUCAAAAUGUUUUUCUGCCGGGUUGGUGUGAGACCUACAGAAAAUACAUAUAAAGCAUCAGACAUGAAGUCCAGCACAUAGUAGGUGUUGAAUAAAUGGCAGUGAGUGGUCAUGUCCGGAAAUGGAGCCAAGAAGUUGAGCCUGGACUACUAAGAAUCUGGCCUGAAGAAUUUCAAAAAGGAGAAUGGUUCUCCCUGAUAACAAAUAGUGGGUUUGGAAAUUAUGAAUAAAGCUGCUACAAACAUCUGUGUGCAGGUAUUUUGUGGAUGGACAUUUUCAACUUACCUAUGUAAAGACCACGGAGCACAAUUGCUGGAUCAUAUGCCAAGAGUCUUCUGAGAAACUACCCAACUGUCUUCCAGGGUGACUGUACCAUUUUGUAUUCAAACAAGCAAUGAGUGAGAGUUCCUGUUGCUCCUCAUCUCCACCAGCAUUUGAUGCUGUCAGUGUUCUGGAUUUUGCCCAUCCUAAUAGGUGUACAAUGGGAUCUUAUCGUUGCUUUAAUUUGCAUUUCUUUGAUGAAGUAUGAUGUGGGGCAUCUUUUCAUAUGCUUAUUUGCUGCCUGUAUAUCUUCUUUGGUGAGAUGGCUUUCAGGAUUUUUGCCCACUAUUUAAUUGGGUGAUUCAUUUUCUUAUUGUUGAAUUUUAAGAGUUCUUUUUUUUUUUUUUUUUUUUUUUUUUUUUGAGACGGAGUCUCGCUUUGUCAUCGCCCAGGCUGGAGUGCAGUGGCGCGAUCUCGGCUCAUUGCAAGCUCUGCCUCCCGGGUUCACGCCAUUCUCCUGCCUCAGCCUCCGAGGAGCUGGGACUACAGGCGCGCACCACCACACACGGCUAAUGUUUUGUAUUUUCAAUAGAGACGGGGUUUCACUGUGUUAGCCAGGAUGGUCUCCAUCUCCUGACCUCGUGAUCCGCCCGCCUCGGCCUCCCAAAGUGAAGAGUUCUUUGUAUAUUUCAGUUAAGUGUUCUUUAUCAAAUGUGUCUUUUGCAAAUAUUUUCUCUCAGUCAGUGGCUUGUCUUCUUAUUUUGUUUUAAGCUGUUCUUUUUUUAACAACUGACUUGAGGUCAUAUCAAAUUAUUGGUUUUGUUGUCCUGAGAGACCAAAUUCUGUUUUCUUCAUCAGAAUCUCAUUAAAUCUCAUUUGCUGAUUUUU